UUUCUCUCUCUUCUCUGUCCAAUGAAGCGGCGAGAGAACAAGCGAUUGUUCUGAAAUCAGAAAAAAUCAAUGGAACACUACCACCACCAACGCGACGACGGCGAUGAAGAUCCUUAAAACUUUGGGGGACCACCGCCGGGCAACAAUUUCCCCGAUGCUCCACCACAACCCCAUGGCCUUUACCAGUCACAACCUCCUUUCGAUCUUUACGCGCCUCCGCUUUACCGAUCGGAACCUCAAUUCGAGCCUCACGUUCCUCCGCCUUACUUCGGAGCUCCGGAAACACCGCCUUACUUCGAAGCUCCGGCACCGCCGCCUUACUUUGAUGCUCCGGAACCGUCGCCUCCGUUUGGUCAUGUGAGCCAUGUCGGUCAUCACUCUUCCAACGAACCCUACCCGCCGGAUCACCACCGUUACGGAGCUCAUCCGCCGCUUGAUUCGACGCUAGAGAGCCACACUACCAAUACCUUACACCUUUCCACCAAGCGUCCACCUUGUGCUCUCGGGUAAUUUGACAGAGAUGAAUGAACUACACUUCCUCUAAGGCCAAAGUAAAAUCUUUGACCCGCACAAAAUGCUCUGACCGUGGAUCAAACAUAGGAAUCCUCGAAAUUCAUAGAAGAUGGCAUAGGUUGAUGGAACUCAAAAGCAUUUUGCUGUAAUCUUGUUGGUGAUUAAAUUAGUAUAAUAACAGUUCUUCUGAGUUUGGUAUUCAACGGCCGAAUAUGUGUAAUACAAAUUCUAGUUAAGGUAAUAAUUUAUUAUC